UAAGUUACAAAUUUAGUGACAGUACAAUUUGAUACUAUUUGCAUCGUGAUUAAAUACAACUUUUCAAGCUAACAUAGUAACAAUGCCAUGAUCAGGAUACCUUGCAAAUAAUUAAUUGCCAACUUGGAGGUGAUCAUGGAUUAGGAGAAAGGAUACAUUAUGAGCAGCUACCAUCAUCACCAUCUGUUUGGGGGCAAAGAGUCUGGUUCUGAGAGGAGGGACCCCUAUCGUACUAUGCUUCCUAUGAUCAAACCUCUACAUGCCCCUCCACAGACCAAGAAUAAGGUAGGCAUAUUAUUAAUCAGAAAAAUAAUUGCAGUAAAGACAGACAGAGAAAGAGGGAGAAAGACGAUCAGAACAUCAAAUUUUGCCUCUUUGUUCUCAAUUAUUUUUAUUUUAACUGAUGGUCCAGAAACAAAAUUUCUGUGUAUUGCUUGUUUAUUUUUUGCUCAUUUCAUCACAAAGGUUUUUAAAAGGGUAAUUUAUCGAUAAUUAGAAUGUAAUGAGUUCUCUCUUAAUGGUUUGUAACUUCAGCUUUAAACACCCAACAGAACCCACCUUUGAGAGCCCCACCCCCUUUCCCUUGGGGAAUAUAGGAGUUGUGAGAGAAGUUUGAAGUUCAAGAUUUUUAGUUGUCCCACCCUAUAAAUAGCUUCUUCAUUAUGUUGUCUUUCAAAUAUUAUGAAAUCAUAUGUUACUAGUAUGAUAGGUAAUCUAUAUCAUGAUCUUGAGAAAAUCCUGUAGGAAAUUUGGAUCUCAGAUGUUGACUCUGAAUGCUACCCUGCCCCGCCCUCCUCCUCUGCACCCAUAUUCUCAGUCACAUUACCCCAUAGAGUGAUCCCUUUAUACCCCGUGGUAUUAUCCCACCUGGUUUGAUCCCACCACUUGGGAGGCAUUACCGUACACACCUGUUCCUAUCGCAGGGGAUUCAGCACAUUCAUGUACUCC